UGGCGGCCAUUUUGAAUAAUAAAGGAAUAGAUUCCAAUUGGUAACUGAAAAGCUAGCUUCAUUACUAUUGGUCAAAGUAAAUAUUGUAGUGACAGUAGUCACAGAAAACACCAAUCAGGCGUUUCGAAAUAUGCAUUUUGAUCAAAUGGGAAACGAGCCAUCUCGUUUGUUGGGUUGACAUAAAAAUUGACACAAAAUUUGUCAAAAUACCGUAUAAACAUAAUUGCCUCUAUCUCAAUUCUCCAUUGUUUCUUUAAUGUUUCCCUCUGUGUCCCCCGAGUCAUAACAUCCAUUUUCUGAUAAACAGAGGCUCGUAGCAGAUCGAUCAAGUUUCACAUCGUCAAUCGUCACUGAGUCACGUUGCGCGACUACGUCGGGCAUCUGUGCAAAUAUAAAGAAUCCGGAACAAUGAGCUCGUCAUAGUGGUCGAUGCGAGUGAGGUCGUGCUCUAAAUGUUAUAACUGAAGUACAAUGAGCGAGGAGGCGGAGGAUGCGUCGAGGAAAGCCGCCCCGCGCCCGUCGGCUCCAGAGCCCUCGCCAGGGCCGGGCGCCGAGGCCGCCACGCAAGAUGCCUCCACCCUUGUGUCAAACACUAACAUUGGACAGGUACCUUCACUAACUGUUACAGUUCAUGCAAUACAUUCUUUUAUGUAUAUUUGUCUCCAAAAACUUUUGUUCAGAUUCAUACUCAUUAUAAUGUUACAUUUAUUAAAAUAAUAUUUUGAAAGUUUA